CCUACGGGUGGCAGCAGUGAGGAAUAUUGGUCAAUGGGCGGAAGCCUGAACCAGCCAAGUCGCGUGAGGGAAUAAGGCCCUACGGGUCGUAAACCUCUUUUGCCGGGGAGCAAGGGCGGGGACGUGUCCCUGCCCGUAGAUUACCCGUGGAAAAAGCCUCGGCUAACUCCGUGCCAGCAGCCGCGGUCAUACGGGGGAUGCGAGCGUUCUCCGGAUUUAUUGGGUUAAAAGGUGGCGUAGGCGGGCUUUUAAGUCAGCGGUAAAAAUUCGGGGCUCAACCCCGUCCGGCCGUUGAAACUGGGGGCCUUGAGUGGGCGAGAAGAAGGCGGAAUGCGUGGUGUAGCGGUGAAAUGCAUAGAUAUCACGCAGAACCCCGAUUGCGAAGGCAGCCUGCCGGCGCCCGACUGACGCUGAGGCACGAAAGUGCGGGGAUCGAACAGGAUUAGAUACCCUUGUAGUC
rnacentral:rRNA from 1 species